rnacentral:lncRNA from 1 species
GGGUUAUCUACCCCAUCCCCCAACCAGGACUGCCUCAGGUUUUUUAUUGCUUCUUCUAGUUCUCCCCUCUUCCGCAGCUCAUCCUGGAGCGCCCGAUGAAGUUGCUAACUCUCAGCCUCCGCUUCUCGACGCCACUUCCACAAAACUUCGGACUCCGCCUCUGCGUCCGCGACGGCCUUCCGCUCGAGCGCCAGUUGGAUUUUCACUUGUUGCAGCUCGGCUGUCUUCUCCCCAAGGGAGACAGAAAUCCCUUCGAC